rnacentral:rRNA from 1 species
UUACUGGGCGUAAAGCGCGCGUAGGUGGUUCAGCAAGUUGGAUGUGAAAUCCCCGGGCUCAACCUGGGAACUGCAUCCAAAACUACUGAGCUAGAGUACGGUAGAGGGUGGUGGAAUUUCCUGUGUAGCGGUGAAAUGCGUAGAUAUAGGAAGGAACACCAGUGGCGAAGGCGACCACCUGGACUGAUACUGACACUGAGGUGC